rnacentral:tRNA from 1 species
ACCAAUAUGACAGAAAAUGUGAUAGAUUUAAAAUCUAUGUAUGGUUAUCCUUUUGGUA